rnacentral:tRNA from 4 species
GGCGCGUUACCAGAGUGGUCUAAUGGCUAGGUCUGCAAAACCUCAGUUCGCGGGUUCAAAUCCCGCACGCGCCUCAA